rnacentral:lncRNA from 1 species
UUGUAUCAUCUAAUACACAUAGGAUAUGUGAAAUUAUUCUCCAACUUACCACGUUACUUUUUAUGACAUGUGGCUAGCUGCAUUGGAAAUAUUUCACAUGUUCUAUGUCAAUUGGAUGGUACACUAGUCACGUAAUUUACUUAGAACACCCAUUAAAGUAGACAUGAGAUGAGAGAGGGUUAGUGAUUGAUGGUGUGCCAACAAAAGAAAGGGGAGUUUAAGCAAGCAAAGUAUAAUUAGAUGAGUGAAGUCUUAUUAGUGAGUGUUCCACUUUAAUGUCUUUUCUCUUUUUCCUUUUACUUUGUUAUUCUUCUGUUCUGCUGCUUAUCAUUUGUUGUCAUUUGUGGCUUGGUGCUUUUGCUUUCUGGGAAGAGAUUAUGAGAAUGUGCAUAUUAGAGACCAAGUAAUGAUGAAUCGGCAUUUUCGAGCUGUGCAUCUCCUCUUCUUCUAGCCGCACUACCCACACCCCUCUUCCUUCUCUCUCCCUAUUUCUCCCUCCAGAUCUGGGUUUUUUAUUUUCCCUUUUUUCACAAGGGAAAUGUGCCAUAACAAGUUGCUGACAAGAGAAAAUGUAGUAAGAGUAGCAUUAUUGAAAAAUAAAAAUAAAAUUUGUAGAUAGAUUGUAAAGCUCUAGAUGUAACAAUUAUUAGAGAUAUGCUAAAAUGAUAAUUGAUAUCCGAUACUCGAGGUAUUUUCUAUGCCCAAGUGGCCAUGUUCUAAAAUGAUAAAUUAUUUGAGAUUUUUUGUUUUUUUGUUUUUUUUUUCCAUUUGAUGUUGGUGAGAGAGAAUAAGAAUAGGAGAUGUCUGGUGCCGAGUCCAUGUCCAUGGAUAAAGAGAAACAGAGAAAAACAUAAAAACAUGAAUUUGAUUUUUUUUUUUAGUUUAUCUUUAAAAAAAAAAAAUAAUAAUACACACUUCUCA